CGCGUGGGAAUAUACCCUUUGGUACGGAAUAGCCCCGGGAAACUGGGAGUAAUACCGUAUGUGCCCUUCGGGGGAAAGAUUUAUCGCCAAAGGAUUAGCCCGCGUUGGAUUAGGUAGUUGGUGGGGUAAUGGCCUACCAAGCCGACGAUCCAUAGCUGGUUUGAGAGGAUGAUCAGCCACACUGGGACUGAGACACGGCCCAGACUCCUACGGGAGGCAGCAGUGGGGAAUCUUAGACAAUGGGGGCAACCCUGAUCUAGCCAUGCCGCGUGAGUGAUGAAGGCCCUAGGGUUGUAAAGCUCUUUCAGCUGGGAAGAUAAUGACGGUACCAGCAGAAGAAGCCCCGGCUAACUCCGUG
rnacentral:rRNA from 1 species